CCUACGGGUGGCUGCAGUGAGGAAUAUUGGUCAAUGGGCGCAAGCCUGAACCAGCCAAGUCGCGUGAGGGAUGACGGUCCUAUGGAUUGUAAACCUCUUUUGUCGGGGAGCAAGGCCCGCCACGUGUGGCGGGAAGGAGAGUACCCGAAGAAAAAGCAUCGGCUAACUCCGUGCCAGCAGCCGCGGUAAUACGGAGGAUUCAAGCGUUAUCCGGAUUUAUUGGGUUUAAAGGGUGCGUAGGCGGUUCGAUAAGUUAGAGGUGAAAUCCCGGGGCUCAACUCCGGCACUGCCUCUGAUACUGUCGGGCUAGAGUUUAGGUGCGGUAGGCGGAAUGUAUGGUGUAGCGGUGAAAUGCAUAGAGAUCAUACAGAACACCGAUUGCGAAGGCAGCUUACCAAACUACGACUGACGUUGAGGCACGAAAGCGUGGGGAGCAAACAGGAUUAGAUACCCUGGUAGUC
rnacentral:rRNA from 1 species